rnacentral:rRNA from 1 species
GACGAACGCUGGCGGCGUGCUUAACACAUGCAAGUCGAACGGAAAGGCCCUGCUUUUGUGGGGUGCUCGAGUGGCGAACGGGUGAGUAACACGCGAGUAACCUGUCCUUGACUUUGGGAUAACAUCAGGAAACUGGGGCUAAUACCGGAUAGGAGCUCUUGCUGCAUGGUGGGGGUUGGAAAGUUUCGGCGGUUGGGGAUGGACUCGCGGCUUAUCCGCUUGUUGGUGGGGUAGUGGCUUACCAAGGUUUCGACGGGUAGCCGGCCUGGGAGGGGGGACGGCGACCAUACGACUGAGGGACGGCGCAGACUCGUACGGGAGGCAGCAGUGGAGAGUAUUGCGCAAUGAGGGGGAGCCUGAGACAGCGGCGCCGCGUGCGGAAUACCGGGCUUCGAGUGAUGAACCGCUUUCGCCUGUGACGAGGCGUGAGUGACGGUAAUGGGUAAGAAAGCACCGGCUAACUACGUG